rnacentral:lncRNA from 1 species
CAAGAGCCUAGAAUUUCUCUAUAGGAGGAACCAGCAGGGAUUUCAUCAAAAGGAGGGACAAGUGUGCUGGCAGCUGUCACCUUCAUUGGAAGUGUAGCUGGAAAUGGAGGAGCUUAUGCCAGAGGCAAGUAUAAGCUGGUACCCUUUCCCCAGAAGGGAGCAAUGCUAGAGCAAGAGGGGACCAUGUGGGCUCUCAGCUCAUGAGGAGGUGCAGGCUGCGGUGGGCUGACCACAGACAGAGGACUCAGCUACAACCGAC